rnacentral:lncRNA from 1 species
UAAAUUGGAAAUUUAUUUUGGAAUAAGGAUUGAAAGUAUAAUGUUAUUUUUAUGGGGUUUUAAUGGAAAUUUGUGAGCUUGGUAUUUUUGUAAAUAAAUAUGUCGGUCAGGGGUAUUUUUGUAAUUGUGUAUUUUCAAUAAUUCGGUUUUGGCCCAAAUUAAAUAGUUAAGGGCUUAAUUGAAAGGCUAAAGGAAAGUUUGG